rnacentral:snoRNA from 2 species
UGGCUUAUGAUGAUAUUUGAAUUAUCUUAGCUAAUUUCAGUGAGAUUUUUAAUCAAUGAUCUGAUUGUUACACACCCUGAAGCCU